rnacentral:rRNA from 1 species
CAGCAGCCACGGUAAUACGAAGGGGGCUAGCGUUGUUCGGAAUUACUGGGCGUAAAGCGCACGUAGGCGGACAUUUAAGUCAGGGGUGAAAUCCCGGGGCUCAACCCCGGAACUGCCUUUGAUACUGGGUGUCUAGAGUAUGGAAGAGGUGAGUGGAAUUCCGAGUGUAGAGGUGAAAUUCGUAGAUAUUCGGAGGAACACCAGUGGCGAAGGCGGCUCACUGGUCCAUUACUGACGCUGAGGUGCGAAAGCGUGGGGAGCAAACAGGAUUAGAGACCCCCGUAGUCCCUGUCUCUUAUAC